rnacentral:rRNA from 1 species
GGGUUGUGAGGUUAAGCGACUAAGCGUACACGGUGGAUGCCCUGGCAGUCAGAGGCGAUGAAGGACGUGCUAAUCUGCGAUAAGCGUCGGUAAGGUGAUAUGAACCGUUAUAACCGGCGAUUUCCGAAUGGGGAAACCCAGUGUGAUUCGUCACACUAUCAUUAACUGAAUCCAUAGGUUAAUGAGGCGAACCGGGGGAACUGAAACAUCUAAGUACCCCGAGGAAAAGAAAUCAACCGAGAUUCCCCCAGUAGCGGCGAGCGAACGGGGAGCAGCCCAGAGCCUGAAUCAGUGUGUGUGUUAGUGGAAGCGUCUGGAAAGGCGCGCGAUACAGGGUGACAGCCCCGUACACAAAAAUGCACAUACUGUGAGCUCGAUGAGUAGGGCGGGACACGUGGUAUCCUGUCUGAAUAUGGGGGGACCAUCCUCCAAGGCUAAAUACUCCUGACUGACCGAUAGUGAACCAGUACCGUGAGGGAAAGGCGAAAAGAACCCCGGCGAGGGGAGUGAAAAAGAACCUGAAACCGUGUACGUACAAGCAGUGGGAGCACAGAGCAAUCUGUGUGACUGCGUACCUUUUGUAUAAUGGGUCAGCGACUUAUAUUCUGUAGCAAGGUUAACCGAAUAGGGGAGCCGAAGGGAAACCGAGUCUUAACUGGGCGUUAAGUUGCAGGGUAUAGACCCGAAACCCGGUGAUCUAGCCAUGGGCAGGUUGAAGGUUGGGUAACACUAACUGGAGGACCGAACCGACUAAUGUUGAAAAAUUAGCGGAUGACUUGUGGCUGGGGGUGAAAGGCCAAUCAAACCGGGAGAUAGCUGGUUCUCCCCGAAAGCUAUUUAGGUAGCGCCUCGUGAAUUCAUCUCCGGGGGUAGAGCACUGUUUCGGCAAGGGGGUCAUCCCGACUUACCAACCCGAUGCAAACUGCGAAUACCGGAGAAUGUUAUCACGGGAGACACACGGCGGGUGCUAACGUCCGUCGUGAAGAGGGAAACAACCCAGACCGCCAGCUAAGGUCCCAAAGUCAUGGUUAAGUGGGAAACGAUGUGGGAAGGCCCAGACAGCCAGGAUGUUGGCUUAGAAGCAGCCAUCAUUUAAAGAAAGCGUAAUAGCUCACUGGUCGAGUCGGCCUGCGCGGAAGAUGUAACGGGGCUAAACCAUGCACCGAAGCUGCGGCAGCGACGCUGAUGCGUUGUUGGGUAGGGGAGCGUUCUGUAAGCCUGCGAAGGUGUGCUGUGAGGCAUGCUGGAGGUAUCAGAAGUGCGAAUGCUGACAUAAGUAACGAUAAAGCGGGUGAAAAGCCCGCUCGCCGGAAGACCAAGGGUUCCUGUCCAACGUUAAUCGGGGCAGGGUGAGUCGACCCCUAAGGCGAGGCCGAAAGGCGUAGUCGAUGGGAAACAGGUUAAUAUUCCUGUACUUGGUGUUACUGCGAAGGGGGGACGGAGAAGGCUAUGUUGGCCGGGCGACGGUUGUCCCGGUUUAAGCGUGUAGGCUGGUUUUCCAGGCAAAUCCGGAAAAUCAAGGCUGAGGCGUGAUGACGAGGCACUACGGUGCUGAAGCAACAAAUGCCCUGCUUCCAGGAAAAGCCUCUAAGCAUCAGGUAACAUCAAAUCGUACCCCAAACCGACACAGGUGGUCAGGUAGAGAAUACCAAGGCGCUUGAGAGAACUCGGGUGAAGGAACUAGGCAAAAUGGUGCCGUAACUUCGGGAGAAGGCACGCUGAUAUGUAGGUGAAGUCCCUCGCGGAUGGAGCUGAAAUCAGUCGAAGAUACCAGCUGGCUGCAACUGUUUAUUAAAAACACAGCACUGUGCAAACACGAAAGUGGACGUAUACGGUGUGACGCCUGCCCGGUGCCGGAAGGUUAAUUGAUGGGGUUAGCGCAAGCGAAGCUCUUGAUCGAAGCCCCGGUAAACGGCGGCCGUAACUAUAACGGUCCUAAGGUAGCGAAAUUCCUUGUCGGGUAAGUUCCGACCUGCACGAAUGGCGUAAUGAUGGCCAGGCUGUCUCCACCCGAGACUCAGUGAAAUUGAACUCGCUGUGAAGAUGCAGUGUACCCGCGGCAAGACGGAAAGACCCCGUGAACCUUUACUAUAGCUUGACACUGAACAUUGAGCCUUGAUGUGUAGGAUAGGUGGGAGGCUUUGAAGUGUGGACGCCAGUCUGCAUGGAGCCGACCUUGAAAUACCACCCUUUAAUGUUUGAUGUUCUAACGUUGACCCGUAAUCCGGGUUGCGGACAGUGUCUGGUGGGUAGUUUGACUGGGGCGGUCUCCUCCUAAAGAGUAACGGAGGAGCACGAAGGUUGGCUAAUCCUGGUCGGACAUCAGGAGGUUAGUGCAAUGGCAUAAGCCAGCUUGACUGCGAGCGUGACGGCGCGAGCAGGUGCGAAAGCAGGUCAUAGUGAUCCGGUGGUUCUGAAUGGAAGGGCCAUCGCUCAACGGAUAAAAGGUACUCCGGGGAUAACAGGCUGAUACCGCCCAAGAGUUCAUAUCGACGGCGGUGUUUGGCACCUCGAUGUCGGCUCAUCACAUCCUGGGGCUGAAGUAGGUCCCAAGGGUAUGGCUGUUCGCCAUUUAAAGUGGUACGCGAGCUGGGUUUAGAACGUCGUGAGACAGUUCGGUCCCUAUCUGCCGUGGGCGCUGGAGAACUGAGGGGGGCUGCUCCUAGUACGAGAGGACCGGAGUGGACGCAUCACUGGUGUUCGGGUUGUCAUGCCAAUGGCACUGCCCGGUAGCUAAAUGCGGAAGAGAUAAGUGCUGAAAGCAUCUAAGCACGAAACUUGCCCCGAGAUGAGUUCUCCCUGACUCCUUGAGAGUCCUGAAGGAACGUUGAAGACGACGACGUUGAUAGGCCGGGUGUGUAAGCGCAGCGAUGCGUUGAGCUAACCGGUACUAAUGAACCGUGAGGCUUAACCUUACAACGCCGAAGGUGUUU